UUAAAUUGAAGAGUUUGAUCAUGGCUCAGAUUGAACGCUGGCGGCAGGCCUAACACAUGCAAGUCGAACGGUAACAGAAAGAAGCUUGCUUCUUUGCUGACGAGUGGCGGACGGGUGAGUAAUGUCUGGGAAACUGCCUGAUGGAGGGGGAUAACUACUGGAAACGGUAGCUAAUACCGCAUAACGUCGCAAGACC
rnacentral:rRNA from 1 species